rnacentral:tRNA from 1 species
UGCCCCAUGGCUAAGUUGGUCAAAGCGUCCGACUGUUAAUCGGAAGGUCUCCAGUUCGAGCCUGGAUGGGGCAG